GGGAAAGUCUUGAAAUCUCCAUCCCUGGAGAUUUUCAAGAGUGGGUUGGACAGAUGUUUGACUGGGAUGGUCUAGUCAGGGAAGAUAACCUUCCUUGAUCCCUCC